UACGUAGGGGGCAAGCGUUGUCCGGAAUCAUUGGGCGUAAAGCGCGCGUAGGUGGCCCGGUAAGUCCGCUGUAAAAGUCCAGGGCUCAACCCUGGAAAGCCGGUGGAUACUGUGAGGCUAGAGUACGGAAGAGGCGAGUGGAAUUCCUGGUGUAGCGGUGGAAUGCGCAGAUAUCAGGAGGAACACCAAUAGCGAAGGCAGCUCGCUGGGACGUUACUGACACUGAGGCGCGAAAGCGUGGGGAGCGAACAGG
rnacentral:rRNA from 1 species